CAGCACGAAGCAAAAAGGGCACUCCAUAAUUCUUGUCUUUUUGGGAGACAGAAUCUCUAUCAGCUGUAAACAACAGACAAACAAAACUAAAACUCUCUUUUUGACAAGUUUGUAAAGCCUGGACGUCUAUAAUAAUCCUCCAGGCCGUAUGCCACUCUCCUUAAUUCAGCCAGUUCAGCAACAAGAAGCCUACCCAGUGGGAAGAAUGCUAUCAAGUUUCCUGGCAUCUCUAGCUGGACAUACUACUUUUGAAUACAACUGGAAACAUGUUAAGCAACCAAAGAUGGAACCAAUACUCAGCUACUCCUGUGAGCCACCAGAGGACUUACGAAUUUCUCUCUAAAUAAGAAGCUAAGUAAUGCUCUUCCUCAUUUUAUCUCAAAGUAGGGGAAUCCCAAUAUUGGCAAUCUUAUUUGCAGUGGUGCUCUUGAUUCUUACCUUAACCCUACCUUGCGCACCACCGGGUGUUCCAUUAAGAGCUUGCUUUAUCUAAUAUUAAUUUUUUAACCUAGUUAUUUUACUUUUGACUGCUUUAGUCCAUCAGCAAUGUAGUAUUUUCGUGUUUAUAUUAGAAGUCAUAAUACUCUUUGCAGAUUUACUAAUAUGCCUUUGUUACUGUAAACCAACACCCUCUCCAGGGAAGUUUGCUAUGUCCCUCCUACAUUUAAACAUCAAAGCCAUAAUCUGAGUAGUGAUCUCUCUCUCUCUAAUACUCAUUGGGUUAACAGUCUCUCUUCUUAAUCAAGCAUCUCAAUUUGGCCCUAUUCUACUUCCCUUGGAACCAUGCACCCUAAUGUUCUAUGGUCAUUACUCAUACUUCUGACUAAAGUCACCCUCAUAUGCCCUAACUGCCCACAACUUUUUUUUAAGCACUUUGCAGGCAACUCCACAACUACUAAACUCUACCAGUUCUUCCUAUGCCUCAACCUGUUAGCUAGUCAUGAAUUCCUCUUCAUCCAGGGUGGGAAUGGCCUACUUGGCCACAAUACGAGAAUGGACAUCUACUCAAGCCCAACUUAGCUUCACCUACCAUCGGGACCUCUCUACACAAAACCUUCCCUCUGCUAGUAUAAUCUUUUUGACAAAACCUAAAGCAGCAUUUUAAGAUUUUCUGAAACCCACCCCCAUUUUUUCAAGUCCCUUGUUCUCCCCUGCUACCCUCAUUGGCCAGGCACUCCUAUGCAUGUGUGCUACUGUAAAUUGCAGAACCAUUGUGGAUGCUUUAGACCCAGCACAAUGCAACACAAUGAGCGCCAUUAUUGAUAUUUCUCAAAAUUUUGUUUCACUAAAUAUUCUCAACAUCAAAUGAGAUUUUCUAUUCUCCCCCAAAUGUUUUAACACCUGGACCAUUCAUCCAAAAUGACGCCACUGAAUUCUGUGUUGGUCACCCUUCUUGGAGUCAACCCAACCGAUGGUGUCAACAAAGCCAGUAUAAAUUAUGGAAAAGGUUUCAAGUCUUUGUUUCAGAAAACCCUCCUCCUUGAUACUACUAGAGACAUCCCCAUGAUAAAACAAAACAAACACAUAGGACCAAUGUCUGGCUCCCCUGGCAGCAGCAACUUUAGUGGCAGGAUCUCACAUAUUGGGUAGCCAACAAGGACCCUGGUCAAUGUUUGGAACUGACCUCACCUUCUGCAUCCAUUUUUAUCGACUACAGAACUUUACUUCCUGUGUGAAAUGCAGGCUUAUCUCUGCCUCUCAGGAAACUUGAUGAGCACAUGCACUCUGGCUUCCUUCACCCCUAAAAUUUCCAUUGUCCUGGGUGAUGCUUCCUUGCUGUUACCCUUUACUACCUCAAACCAGAUCAACUGUGCAGUUUAUCUUUUUUUUUUUCUCAAUGAGCUUGGCAUCACAAGUGCCACUACAGGAAUAGCUGGCAUAAUUAUUACCUCCUCAACUUACCACAACCUGUCUCUAGAACUGACUCAAAAAACAGAAACCAGUGCUCAGACUCUUACAGAGUUACAGCAACAAGUUGAUUAUCUCAUGGCUGUAGUUCAAUAUUGUAGAGGUCUUGCCACAUGCAGCUCAGGAAAGAAUCUGCCUUAUGCUAGGAGAAAAAUGCUGUUUCUGGGUUAACAGAUUAGGGAAAGUCCAGGACCAUGUUAGAGAUUUUAUAAACCAAGCCUGUCACCGUCAGAAACAUGCCACUGAGAGCUAGUGCUCCUCGGGUGCCAACUUGUUCAAAUUCUCAUCACAUCCUUUUUUGGGGAUCCCUAGCUUUUGUCUUGCUUUUUCUCUUUUGUGAGCUUUACUCACUAUAUCUAGUAACCACGUUUGUUUCCUCUCACCUGGAAACUCUCAGACUUCAAAUGGUCCUGCAACAGGAAUAUCGACCUAUUUUCUUCCUUUCUGUACAGCCAUGUUUCUCCACAUUUCCUCUGGACACUGCAAGUCAAACCUGGGAAAACAUGGAGGGAAUCUUUUUUCUGACAAAGAGCAAGAUAAUGAGACACUGAUGAGUUAUCUUAUGUCACCAGGAAGUAGUUACAGAAGACCCAGAGUGCACCUAGUCUCAAAGAUUUUUAGAGUCGCCAUCUAUUGAGGGAAUGUUAGAGUAGGCAGUUAGACAUGAGCAGAAAAAAAGAGCCCCAGAGGGAAAAAACCUCAAUGUCCAAAGACAACCCAAAACAUGUAUGCUAAAUUUGAGCAGAGAGGAGCAGAAAUACCUAUGAAGAACACCCUGAAACACCCCUUAAGACACCCAGUAAUUGCUCAUACUGUGAUUAAACUGUCAGAAUGUAGCUAGCUACAUGCUGAUAAAAAGGGAGAAAGGGCUAAAGGAAAAUUCCUAAGAGAUAUGCAGACACAGUAAGUACACAUUUGACUGCUAUAUUAUUUUCCUAAGGUGGUGGUAAUAAGCAGUGCUGCCAUUAAGAUUCAUUGAUCACUGGAACUCACACAUGUACAUCAGCUGACAGUAAGGAAGCAUCUCACAGACCUGGGCAGAAACUCGAUGAGGAUAAAAGAAGAGAUUUACCAGGAGGCAGACACUUCAGACAGAGAGAAGCCGACGAAGGACUUGGAUAAAGUGACUAAAAAUGAAAACUGUACCUCAUGAACUGCAUCCACUAAAACAAAACAAAUCAUAACAGACAAAUUUCCUCAAGAUUGUAACAUGAAUCUCAACAGAAAAGAUCACUGCAGAUUUUGAAUCUUGAAUCUAUACAGAUCAUUCUACUUUUCCAACACUUAACAUUUACACUCAAAAAUAAAUCAGCUUAAUAAAAAAGUUUUGCUAUGUCAUAGAAAA